rnacentral:rRNA from 1 species
GACAGAGGAUGCAAGCGUUAUCCGGAAUUAUUGGGCGUAAAGCGUCCGCAGGUGGCUAUUCAAGUCUGCGGUCAAAGACUGGGGCUUAACCCUGGAAAGGCCGUGGAAACUGAAGAGCUAGAGUGCAGUAGGGGUAGAGGGAAUUCCCGGUGUAGCGGUGAAAUGCGUAGAUAUCGAGAGGAACACCUGCGGCGAAGGCGGGUUGCUGGGCUGAUACUGACGUGAGGCGCGAAAGCCAGGGGAGCGAACGGGG